rnacentral:tRNA from 1 species
UGCGGUCGUGGCGGAAUGGCAGACGCGCUGUCUUGAGGGGGCAGUGGGUGUAUACCUGUGCGGGUUCAAGUCCCGCCGGCCGCAU